UACGAGGGGGGCAAGCGUUGUUCGGAAUUAUUGGGCGUAAAGGGCGCGUAGGCGGUGCGGUAAGUCACCUGUGAAAUCUCUGGGCUCAACUCAGAGUCUGCAGGCGAAACUGCCGUGCUGGAGUAUGGGAGAGGUGCGUGGAAUUCCCGGUGUAGCGGUGAAAUGCGUAGAUAUUGGGAAGAACACCGGUGGCGAAGGCGGCCGAUCUGGACCGUAUCUGACGCUGAGGCGACGAAAGCGUGGGGAGCAAACAGGG
rnacentral:rRNA from 1 species